CUGUUUUUCUUCUUUCUUCUUCAUUUUUCUUUUCUUUCUCUCUUUCCUCUGUUCUUCAUGCUCGUCAAUUUGUGAGAAGACUGAGUGAUUUUGAGAAUGGAAAUUAGGGGAAAAUGUCAAGAGCUGAUCGUUUGUGAUGACGUUGCGGUUGAUUGAACACGAGAUGAUGAUAGAAUUGCUACUGUAAAUCGAAGUUAGGAUUUAUGGUUAGGAUUUGUAUAGAAUUGAGAGAUGAUUUGGGUUGUUGUUAGAUGAAGAACGAUUGGGUUGAGAUUGAAUUAAAUCUCUGAAGCUAUUUGGAGGUGAAAUUGAGAAUUAGAGUUCGUCUUGUUCUUCCCCAAAUUAGAAUUAGGGUUUGUAAGAAGUUCAAAGAGAAAUCAACAGAUGAAGUUGUCGAUUUAGGGGAUUAAAUUAAAUGAUGGGUUUUGAAGAACAUGAAGUGAAGUUAAAAGUUACGAGUUUAAUUUGAAGAUUUGAUUUCAAAGAAGAACAUAAAUUGAGAAUUGAGGAAUUAGGGUUUGAUUGUGCUUGUAAGGAAGUGACGAGAUUGUCAUGGGUGCUGAUUCGAUCUUCAUGGCUGAUUCGGAUGAAAGGAUUUGUUAUAGGGGGUGUGUUCGUUGUUGCAGAACUGGAAUUACGGUUGCAGAGUUGUGUUGUUGCUGAGUUUUAGAUGUAUGAAUCAAUUCUAAGAUGAAUGGGUAAUGGAAUUGAGUUGCAGGCCUGAAGUUGUUGAGCUGAAGUUCUAUUUAGUGUUGUUAAGGGUGUUGUAAGUAUGUUAAGCUGAAAUGAAUAUGGACUGUGUUAUGGAGUUGUGGUAGUUGUGGUGUCGCUGCACAGUUGGUGGUGUUGGAUUGAUCUUAUUUGAGACAGAUCAUAGGUUGGUUGCUAUUGUUGAGUUUUGUAUUGUUUGAAGUUCUUUUGAAUGGUUGGUGGUGGAAGUAUUGGUGAAGCUGUAGCGGCUAUGAUCAAUGGAAAUGCUAAGUAUAAUCUGGUGAGGGUGUCAAUUAGAACGAUGUGUAUGUAAUGUUUUGGAUGUGGUGUUUCUGAAGUUCAGUUUAUGAAGAAUGGUGAUCAAAGAGUAGUAGAUAGUAAUUGCUGUAAAAGCUUGGAACUGUUGAACUGCAGGUAGGCUUUAGUUGCGUUUGUAAUUAAAUUGUAAAUUAUAUUUGAAUGAACGAAGUGUUUAGUAAUUGUAUAAACUUCAAUUCUUUAGUAUUAAA